rnacentral:misc_RNA from 1 species
CAAAUUCAGGAAUGAAUGUUCUCUCGUAAAACCCAUCAAGAAAAAUUCUCCCCAAUGCUUUGACGACCCUAGAUCUCUAACAAGUAAGAGUAUGAAAAUGGUGAUUAGUGAUAUGUGUAAUGCUUUGACACGUGGAUGGAAGAGCCGAAAACCCAUGAAAGAUUCUUCCCAGCUACUUUAGACUCCCUAUAUCCCUAACAUCAAAGUUAAUUAAUAACACUUGUAGUAAUAUCAAGUAAUUAUGAAAAUGAACUUCACACUGACACAGGAUAACAUAAAAUGCACAGGCUCGGAUAUUUCUAUUGUAUAAUGGAAACUCAAAUU